UACAGAGGUCCCAAGCGUUGUUCGGAUUCACUGGGCGUAACGGGUGCGUAGGCGGUCGGGUAAGUCUGAUGUGAAAUCUCACAGCUUAACUGUGAAACUGCAUUGGAUACUAUCCGGCUCGAGGAAUGGAGGGGAGACUGGAAUACUUGGUGUAGCAGUGAAAUGCGUAGAUAUCAAGUGGAACACCAGUGGCGAAGGCGAGUCUCUGGACAUUUCCUGACGCGGAGGCACGAAAGCCAGGGGAGCAAACGGG
rnacentral:rRNA from 1 species